rnacentral:rRNA from 1 species
UGUGGCUGGGGGUGAAAGGCCAAUCAAACCGGGAGAUAGCUGGUUCUCCCCGAAAUCUAUUUAGGUAGAGCCUUGAGCGGACACCUUCGGGGGUAGAGCACUGUUUCGGCUAGGGGUCCAUCCCGGAUUACCAACCCGAUGCAAACUACGAAUACCGAAGAGUGAUACUCAGGAGACACACGGCGGGUGCUAACGUCCGUCGUGGAGAGGGAAACAACCCAGACCGCCAGCUAAGGUCCCAAAGUCUAUAUUAAGUGGGAAACGAAGUGGGAAGGCUUAGACAGCUAGGAUGUUGGCUUAGAAGCAGCCAUCAUUUAAAGAAAGCGUAAUAGCUCACUAGUCGAGUCGGCCUGCGCGGAAGAUGUAACGGGGCUCAAAUAUAGCACCGAAGCUGCGGCAUCAGACGAAAGUCUGUUGGGUAGGGGAGCGUUCUGUAAGCGGAUGAAGGUGAAUCGAGAGGUUUGCUGGACGUAUCAGAAGUGCGAAUGCUGACAUAAGUAACGAUAAAACGGGUGAAAAACCCGUUCGCCGGAAGACCAAGGGUUCCUGUCCAACGUUAAUCGGGGCAGGGUGAGUCGGCCCCUAAGGCGAGGCUGAAAAGCGUAGUCGAUGGGAAACGGGUUAAUAUUCCCGUACUUGGAUAAACUGCGAUGUGGGGACGGAGCAGGUUAGGUUAUCGCACUGUUGGAUAUGUGCGUUUAAGUUGGUAGGUGUGAAGUUUAGGCAAAUCCGGACUUCUUUAACACUGAGAGAUGAUGACGAGGCUCUACGGAGCUGAAGUAACCGAUACCACACUUCCAGGAAAAGCCACUAAGCUUCAGGUUUAUCUAAACCGUACUGAAAACCGACACAGGUGGUCAGGUAGAGAAUACUCAGGCGCUUGAGAGAACUCGGGUGAAGGAACUAGGCAAAAUAGCACCGUAACUUCGGGAGAAGGUGCGCCGGCGUAGAUUGUAGUCCCUAGCGGGCGAAGGUUGAACCGGUCGAAGAUACCAGCUGGCUGCAACUGUUUAUUAAAAACACAGCACUCUGCAAACACGAAAGUGGACGUAUAGGGUGUGAUGCCUGCCCGGUGCUGGAAGGUUAAUUGAUGGUGUAAUCGAAAGAGAAGCUCCUGAUCGAAGCCCCAGUAAACGGCGGCCGUAACUAUAACGGUCCUAAGGUAGCGAAAUUCCUUGUCGGGUAAGUUCCGACCUGCACGAAUGGCAUAAUGAUGGCCAGGCUGUCUCCACCCGAGACUCAGUGAAAUUGAAAUCGCCGUGAAGAUGCGGUGUACCCGCGGCUAGACGGAAAGACCCCGUGAACCUUUACUAUAGCUUGACACUGAACAUUGAAUUUUGAUGUGUAGGAUAGGUGGGAGACUUUGAAGAUGAUACGCCAGUAUUGGUGGAGUCGUCCUUGAAAUACCACCCUUUAACGUUUGAUGUUCUAACGAAGAUUACGAAACGUGGUCUCGGACAGUGUCUGGUGGGUAGUUUGACUGGGGCGGUCUCCUCCCAAAGAGUAACGGAGGAGCACGAAGGUUUGCUAAUGACGGUCGGACAUCGUCAGGUUAGUGCAAUGGUAUAAGCAAGCUUAACUGCGAGACAGACAAGUCGAGCAGGUACGAAAGUAGGUCAUAGUGAUCCGGUGGUUCUGAAUGGAAGGGCCAUCGCUCAACGGAUAAAAGGUACUCCGGGGAUAACAGGCUGAUACCGCCCAAGAGUUCAUAUCGACGGCGGUGUUUGGCAC